rnacentral:rRNA from 1 species
AUGCCUAUGGGUUUAUCCGAAGCACCCGACACUUUUAUGUGGGUGAUGCAUUAUGUUCUUCGCCCAUACAUUGGCGUAUUUGUUGUGGUCUACUUUGACAGUAUCCUUGUAUUUAGCAUGUCUCUAGAAGAUAAUGUCACCCAUCUUAGAACCGUUUUGCAAACUCUUAGAAAAGAGCGCUUUUAUGCUAAUAUGGACGAAUGCCUUUUUGGUGUUGAUAAGCUUGUUUUCAUGGGUUUUGUUGUGUCCUCUAAGGGUGCUCGUGUAGAUGAAGCUAAAAUUGAUGCUAUUAAAUCUUUGCCACAACCAACCAACUUGCAACAA